rnacentral:rRNA from 1 species
UGGGGAAUAUUGCACAAUGGAGGAAACUCUGAUGCAGCGACGCCGCGUGAAGGAUGAAGUAUUUCGGUACGUAAACUUCUAUCAGCAGGGAAGAAAAUGACGGUACCUGACUAAGAAGCCCCGGCUAACUACGUGCCAGCAGCCGCGGUAAUACGUAGGGGGCAAGCGUAUCCGGAUUUACUGGGUGUAAAGGGAGCGUAGACGGCACGGCAAGCCAGAUGUGAAAGCCCGGGGCUCAACCCCGGGACUGCAUUUGGAACUGCUGAGCUAGAGUGUCGGAGAGGCAAGUGGAAUUCCUAGUGUAACGGUGAAAUGCGUAGAUAUUAGGAGGAACACCAGUGGCGAAGGCGGCUUGCUGGACGAUGACUGACGUUGAGGCUCGAAAGCGUGGGGAGCAAACAGG